rnacentral:rRNA from 1 species
GUUUGGGAACGCAGCCCAAAUUGGGUGGUAAACUUCAUCUAAGGCUAAAUACGGCCCCGAAACCGAUAGCAAACAAGUACCGUGAGGGAAAGUUGAAAAGUACUUUGAAGAGAGAGUUCAAGAGGACGUGAAACCGGUAGGAUGGAAACGGAUAGAGCCAACGAACAAGCCCGUAUUCAGCUAGUCGGCUGCGUGCGGCAUGCCUGCGUUUCUCGUAUAUAGGACGUAGGUGUGUGCGGUAUGCGGUCGGUUAGUGCAUUUGCGGGUGAUGUGCGCUGAGGCGUGUAGUGGUGUCCUGCAAACCGUGUAGAGAGGCCUCGUCUUCGGACUUGGAACCUAUGCGCGGGGAGUGGGGUCGCUGCUGCAUGUAGCUUGACGGUUAGGUGUACUCGCGCUGUCGUAUCGUCGGGUCAGUUCUCUGAGCGGUCGCAUGCGACUUGCUCUCUGAGCCGGUCUUGGCGGUGCGGUAGUGCCCUGACCGAUCCUCGGUGUAAAAGUUGGUCAUCUCUCCGACCCGUCUUGAAACACGGACCAAGGAGUCUAGCGUAUGCGCGAGUCAUUGGGUGGAAAACCCAUAGGCGUAAUGAAAGUGAAGGCAUCUUCAGAUGCUGAUAUGCGAUCCGUCGUGCCUCGGUGCGGCGGAGCAGCAUAGCCCCGUCUCGACCGCUUGCGGUGGGGCGGAGGUAGAGCGUAUUCGCUGGUACCCGAAAGAUGGUGAACUAUGCCUGAGCAGGAUGAAGCCAGAGGAAACUCUGGUGGAGGUCCGAAGCGCUUCUGACGUGCAAAUCGAUCGUCUGACUUGGGUAUAGGGGCGAAAGACUAA